GCCGCAUGCAGGUAAACGGGUGGCGUCAAGCUGCGAGCCCGGAGGAUUCAGCUGGCUGGGAUGUAGUGUACGCGCGCCUGGUGCGUCGAGAGGCCGGAGUAAGAUGUGGCGGUCCACUCCUCUGUCGGGAGUGGGGUGCAAUCGGUUCUGCCGGUUGUCGCUAUGCAUGCCGGGUGGGUGCCGGAGCAUGCCGCUCGUCUGUUGGGCCACCUAGUCAGUGCAUUUUCUCCGUGGUGAACACCACGACCGGUGGAACUGCCAGUCUGCUGUGAGCAAGUCGUGUCCUCCUGAUGCGUUUCUGUGUUGGGUGGGCGCGAUCGCAGGCGGAGUGGGUGAACGGCGCAGUGGUGCCUCGGUACUGCCGCGUGUUAUCGUGCACUCUCCGUCGUAAGCGGUUAGUGGGUUUGACUAAGUGCUGUGACUACUUGCCCAUUAGCCGGCGGCCCGCAGUGGUGAAAGUGACUGUGCAGGGCACCGGAGUUGUCCACCUCAUUCAAUAUGGUAUCCGGCACGCACGUUACAGGUGCUAAAGAAUCGGGGUGCGCCGCUGUCUGCCUGGUGUUGGGCCUGACUGUCGUGUUGCCUGCGCAAAGUGGGUCCGGCGGUGGUUUCAACGCUUGGUAUUGGCAGUGUGCUGCGCAUCUCGGGUGUUUGUGGUACCGGGGGUGAAAUAGUCAGUGGUGCUGUGGUAGACGAGCUACCCGACCCGUCUUGAAACACGGACCAAGGAGUUUAACAUGUGUGCGAGUCAAAGGGUCCUACGAAACCCCUAGGCGCAGUGAAAGUAAAGUUCAUGCUGCACUUUCGCACAUACGCGGUGCAGUGUGGCGAGGUGAGAUCUCGUUGUACUCAUGACACACGCCUCAGACCUUACUGGGCAUUCUAACUGGGGCAGCGAGCGCAUCACCGGCCCGUCCCAUGAUGUGGUCAUAGGUGUACUCGUGCGUGGAGUGGCAACACAAAGCGUGCAAAGCCUGUGCGUCAUCGGGGCGGAGCAUGAGCACACACGUUGAGACCCGAAAGAUGGUGAACUAUGCUUGCGUAGGUUGAAGCCAGAGGAAACUCUGGUGGAGGACCGUAGCGAUUCUGACGUGCAAAUCGAUCGUCAAACGUG
rnacentral:rRNA from 1 species